rnacentral:rRNA from 1 species
CCUACGGGGGGCAGCAGUGGGGAAUAUUGGACAAUGGGGGCAACCCUGAUCCAGCCAUGCCGCGUGUGUGAAGAAGGCCCUCGGGUUGUAAAGCACUUUCAGUGAGGAAGAACGCCUGGUGGUUAAUACCCAUCAGGAAAGACAUCACUCACAGAAGAAGCACCGGCUAACUCCGUGCCAGCAGCCGCGGUAAUACGGAGGGUGCGAGCGUUAAUCGGAAUUACUGGGCGUAAAGCGCGCGUAGGUGGCUUGAUAAGCCGGUUGUGAAAGCCCCGGGCUCAACCUGGGAACGGCAUCCGGACUGUCGAGGUAGCGUGCACGAGGGGACGGUACACAUCCAGGUGGAGCGGUGCAAUGCGUAGAGGACGGGAGGAAUAGGAGUGGCGAAGGCGGCCUGAUGGGCGGACGAUGACAUUGAGGUGCGAAGGCGUGGGUCGCAAAACGGACGCGCUAACGUGGGGGUC